AGCCAACCAACACUUUAGAUGAAUCUUAAUAAUCAAUAUAUCAUUCAAGCAUUUAAUAGAGUCUUAAUUCCUUACUUUAUAUACGUGUUUAGGUGAACUGUAUGUUGCUUUCUUCAAUUUAGGUGAACAAAAGACAGUGAUAAGUACAAAGACAUCGUCUCUGGCUGAAGUAUCUUUUUUUGAUGAAUUGAACCAAUUGAGAACUUGAUUUGCAGAGAGCAAUGCAAGGAUUUACUAGAAGAUUGUGGGAUUGAUGAAGAGUGAGGGUCUCUUGGCCGGAAUUGGUGUAUCACAUUAUAAUAAAGCUUCCAGUUUAGUGUUUCAAUAAACUCUCUCACAUUCUUUGAUAAUGACAGUGUUUGAUGAUGAAAACCAAGCGCAGGAGAAUAGCUUCAUUUAUGAUUACUUGGAAGUUACUAUCUAUUAAUUCUUACAAGAGGAAGAGGAUCAAGAACAGGAGCUGUUAUUAUAACUUGUUCCAAGUACUACCACUACAAAAGAACAGGACCAGGUUAUAGCUGAGUAUCUUCAAAAAGUUGAUCCUAAAUCAGAUGGUGCAAAGUGGGACUGGGUUGCUAUUUAUGACGAGUGUGCAGCUGUUUUAUAUCAGAUUCCAGGUUUAUUGGUUAUUGUGAUUCUAGAUCAUUAUCUUUCUAAGAGGUUCAUUGCUAAUUUGAUUGUACUUCUGAUGUUUGGUUUUCUUGGCUACAUGUUGUGCAUUUCAGAGAGAUACAAUUCAAGCUGUGACAAGUUUUGCCAAACGGAAUAAAUUGCCUGUUCUCAUGCAAGAACAGAUGAUUGCACAUUUGCAUAUGAAGUACAGAACUGAUAUAGAAGGGCUGCAGCAGCAAGAGUUUAAAUACAUAUUCAUAUUCCGUUUAAAUACAUUAUUAGAUAUUAACAUAGUUUAGGGAACUGGAUGGUAGAUUUGACUGAUUAGUGUUUAUUGCAAUGUUUGUAUUUUGGUAAGUUUAGUAAGACAAGGUUUUGUAUAGGAG